rnacentral:rRNA from 1 species
GAUGAACGCUGGCGGCGUGCCUAAUACAUGCAAGUCGAGCGAACGGACGAGAAGCUUGCUUCUCUGAUGUUAGCGGCGGACGGGUGAGUAACACGUGGAUAACCUACCUAUAAGACUGGGAUAACUUCGGGAAACCGGAGCUAAUACCGGAUAAUAUUUUGAACCGCAUGGUUCAAAAGUGAAAGACGGUCUUGCUGUCACUUAUAGAUGGAUCCGCGCUGCAUUAGCUAGUUGGUAAGGUAACGGCUUACCAAGGCAACGAUGCAUAGCCGACCUGAGAGGGUGAUCGGCCAAACGGGAACUGAGACACGGUCCAGACUCCUACGGGAGGCAGCAGUAGGGAAUCUUCCGCAAUGGGCGAAAGCCUGACGGAGCAACGCCGCGUGAGUGAUGAAGGCCUUCGGAUCGUAAAACUCUGUUAUUAGGGAAGAACAUAUGUGUAAGUAACUGUGCACAUCUUGACGGUACCGAAUCAGAAAGCCACGGCUAACUACGU